rnacentral:rRNA from 1 species
UACGUAGGGGGCAAGCGUUGUCCGGAUUUAUUGGGCGUAAAGAGCGUGUAGGCGGCCAUACAGGUCAGCUGUGAAAAACUCGAGGCUCAACCUCGAGACGUCGGUUGAAACCGUUUGGCUAGAGUCCGGAAGAGGAGAGUGGAAUUCCCGGUGUAGCGGUGAAAUGCGCAGAUAUCGGGAAGAACACCCGUGGCGAAGGCGGCUCUCUGGGACGGUACUGACGCUGAGACGCGAAAAGCGUGGGGGAGCGAACAGG